ACACUUGGCCGUGGCACAGACUGGUGUCAGAGCAGUUUCGACUUCAAUUUUUGUAAGUCAAGGAGCUUUUUGGUCGAAGUCAAUAAUGAAGGGUUCAUGGAGAAAGGUUGUUGUAGAGCGACUAGGCCUUACCCGAUCUACGAGCUGCAUUUCUUGACUGUAUCGUGAGAACAUUGUCAUUCAAGGCUUUGAACUAGCCACGCUUAUCAUGAAUUCCUGUUGAAGAGCAGCUUGGUUUCUUGUUUUUUUUUUACGACUUCUGGACUGUGGCCUUGCAUUUUGAAGAGCUCUGCAUGCAAGGGUAAGAAGCGCCACAAGCUUCGGGCGCAGUGUAUGGAUGCAAGUCGAGCGGCAGAAUUUUUCUAUCUCUACUGUCAAGAGGAAGGGGAACUGAAAACUGGGUCUGGAGAAGUUCACUCGAGGAGCAGCACAUACGUACAUCAGUGCCUUUCCAAGGCCAGUGACCCCAAGUAAAAUUGAUACUGAAUUGUGUCAGCACCUGAUGGUGGUAUGACCUAUUCCUAAAUUAGCCUACUUUGCCUGUUAGUGAACAGUGGAGCAGAACACUACCAAUUCUGUCACAAGCCGUGGCAAGAUAUGGGAUCGUACCGUUGUGCUGAAGGUGUGCGAGCUGGGCUGCAAGGCGGUUGCUGCAGUAGAUCGCUAUGCGGCCCAAGUGAAUGCAUGAUUCACUGUCUGGAUACCAUGUUAUUGGAUAUGAAUGCGCUGUUAGACAUAUUAUUCUGACCUGACAAGUACUGGGUGAAAAAUGAGGAGGCACCGACGUGCGGAUACUGCGGUGAUGAGUUUACACUGACCAAUCGGCGUCAUCGCUGUCGUCUGUGCGGCGACAUAUUUCACGGUGGGGAGUGCGCGCAGAAGGCGGGCCAAUUUGAGGUGUGGGUGUGCACGUUCUGCUUCAAGUACCACACCAUCUACAAGGGCCCCAUGCAGAGCGGUUGUGUUAUGACAUAGUACACUAAGGAUCUGGAGAGGAACCACCAGAGACACUUCUGGCUCUCCAGUGACGGCCGAGAGCUCAUCUGGAAGGAAGUGGAGUCGCGCUCCCGUCUAAGCAACAUAACAGGUUCUACUGUUCAUAACCUCCGCUUGGCUGACGUAACGCGGAUACACGCCAGUGGUCCACCAAGACUGGAAAGUUACGGCCAAUGUUAUGCGUUUCAAGUCAUCACCGCGAACGACCAUUUGUGCUGGAAGCUGCCAACGUCAAGGAUUAUAACAUCUGGACGGAAGGACUCGAGUGUGCUGUGUACGUCAGCCAAGCGCACCGAAACCUUCAGGGACGGCAGCUGGAAGAUCGUGCAAGACGACACGCCAAGCGCUCGCGUGACCACCAUCGGCAGAUGAUAGCGGAUCGAGUGCAAGCGCGCCAAAAAGGAAUGAAGAAGUCUGGCUAGAUACUAGAUAAAAAGGAAUGAAGAAGUCUGGCUAGAUACUAGAUAGCAUAGCCGAACAUGGUCAGGACCUUCUCACAGGUGUGUUUUGAAGGAUUUCGGUCUUCCCAAUGUGAGGAACCGCUAUUCGGUCUUGUAUGAAUUAGGGUGUAGGAAACGUUCCUGGCGAGUCAAUCGACUCGGUUUUCAUUCGAUACAAGUUGAUAGUAGAGAAUCCUAUGGCUUGAUACACACCAGUGGCAACAGCAGUGUCUUUCUUGACUCUUGAGAUGUACCGGUCACAUGCUCAUGCUCCUCUGCAUAAAAAUGAGCUUGUAAGUUAAAAUUGGACAGAGUUUACGAAGUAUUAGGGAGUUUGCGCUGUUGCAAUGCUUCGAGUUGAUUUCUUGGACCCAUCACAGUAACAGCAUUGUUAGCAUUUCAAAGUAAAUUCAUAGUCCGUUCCCCUGGCAUAUUCAGCUGGGUCGUGGUCGUGGUAGUCUUAGGGAAGUGGGUUUGAUUACUUCACCAUAUUGCACUAGACUUUGCUGAACAAUGGUGACAAAAUAAUAAUUUAAUGGUAAUUGGCCUAUAUCUUUUCAGUAAAAUGCAUUUGCUGGUUAAGUUUGUAUUCAUUGCAACCACAAUUUUAGUUGUAAUAUUUUGCCCUUGAUACCAAGUCCAAG